rnacentral:rRNA from 1 species
AGAGUUUGAUCCUGGCUCAGAAUGAACGCUGGCGGCGUGCCUAACACAUGCAAGUCGGAUGUGCCGCAAGGUGCAUGGCAGACGGGUGAGUAACGCGUAGGGAAUCUACCUCUUUGUGGGGAAUAACGCUCCGAAAGGAGUGGUAAUACCGCAUGAGACCGAUGUCUGGGAUGACAUCGGUGAAACCUGGGGACCGGUAACGGCCUGGGGCAAGGAGAGGAUCCUGCGUCUGAUUAGCUAGUUGGCGGGGUAAUGGCCCACCAAGGCGACGAUCAGUAGCCGGCCUGAGAGGGUGAUCGGCCACACUGGAACUGAGACACGGUCCAGACUCCUACGGGAGGCAGCAGUGGGGAAUUUUGCGCAAUGGGCGAAAGCCUGACGCAGCAACGCCGCGUGGGUGAUGAAGGUCUUCGGACUGUAAAACCCUGUCGUCAGGGACGAAGAUGUAUACGUUAAUAGCGUGUGCAUUUGACGGUACCUGGAGAGGAAGCCCCGGCUAACUCUGUGCCAGCAGCCGCGGUAAUACAGAGGGGGCAAGCGUUAUUCGGAAUUAUUGGGCGUAAAGGGCGCGUAGGCGGUUUUUUAAGUCAGAUGUGUAAUCCCCGAGCUUAACUUGGGAACUGCAUCUGAGACUGGAAGGCUAGAGUACUGGAGAGGGUGGUGGAAUUCCUCGUGUAGCGGUGAAAUGCGUAGAGAUGAGGAGGAACACCAGUGGCGAAGGCGGCCACCUGGACAGUAACUGACGCUGAGGCGCGAAAGUGUGGGUAGCAAACAGGAUUAGAUACCCUGGUAGUCCACGCUGUAAACGAUGAACACUUGGUGUGGAGGGAGUUGACCCCUUCCGUGCCGGAGCUAACGCGUUAAGUGUUCCGCCUGGGGAGUACGGUCGCAAGGCUGAAACUUAAAGGAAUUGACGG